AGUGGGACCUGGACAUUGUGGCCUGGUCAGCGGGGGUCUGAUCAGUGGGAACCUGGACAUUGUGGCCUGGUCAGCUGAGGCCUGGUCAGUGGGUACCUCAACCUUAUGGCUUGAUCAACAGGGGCCUUGUCAGUGGGACCUGGACAUUGUGGCCUGCUCAGCGGGACCUGAUCAGUGGGACCUGGACAUUGUGGCCUGCUCAGCGGGGCCUGAUCAGUGGGACCUGGACAUUGUGGCCUGCUCAGCGGUGCCUGAUCAGUAGGACCUGGACAUUGUGGCCUGGUCAGCGGGGGCCUGGUCAGUGGGACCUGAACAUUGUGGUCUGACCCAGGCCCAGGGGAUGCCCAAUGCUGUGAGGAGGCUCAGACAGCAGGAAGGAGAGAAGGAAGGAAGGAACUUCCAUAGUGCUGAUGCCUACAAAAUUACAACACGUGGUGCUGUUUCUACUCCAUCGCCAUGUUCGCUCUUUAUUUCCUAUGUAAUUCUCUAUUCAACCGGCCUCAGUUGAGCACAAAACCAUCCUUGUACCACCAUGAAUAGUUGGCCAUGGCUCUUUGAUAGCAGUUUUUAUUCUGCCGUAGAAAUUAUCCUUGAACCAGAAAAAAAAAAUCCGCAAUUCAACACUCCACC
rnacentral:lncRNA from 1 species